UAUAUCAGGGCGGGUGCUUACACAUGCAAGUCGAACGCUGAAGCUCCCAGCUUGCUGGGGGUGGAUGAGUGGCGAACGGGUGAGUAACACGUGAGUAACCUGCCUAUCACUCUGGGAUAAGCACUGGAAACGGUGUCUAAUACUGGAUAUGCACAAUGGCCGCAUGGUCUGUUGUGGGAAAGAUUUAUCGGUGAUAGAUGGACUCGCGGCCUAUCAGCUUGUUGGUGAGGUAAUAGCUCACCAAGGCGACGACGGGUAGCCGGCCUGAGAGGGUGAUCGGCCACACUGGGACUGAGACACGGCCCAGACUCCUACGGGAGGCAGCAGUGGGGAAUAUUGCACAAUGGGCGAAAGCCUGAUGCAGCAACGCCGCGUGAGGGAUGAAUGCCUUCGGGUUGUAAACCUCUUUUAGUAGGGAAGAAGCGCAAGUGACGGUACCUGCAGAAAAAGCACCGGCUAACUACGUGCCAGCAGCCGCGGUAAUACGUAGGGUGCAAGCGUUGUCCGGAAUUAUUGGGCGUAAAGAGCUCGUAGGCGGCUUGUCGCGUCUGCUGUGAAAACCCGAGGCUCAACCUCGGGCUUGCAGUGGGUACGGGCAGGCUAGAGUGCGGUAGGGGAGAUUGGAAUUCCUGGUGUAGCGGUGGAAUGCGCAGAUAUCAGGAGGAACACCAAUGGCGA
rnacentral:rRNA from 1 species